CUCAGAGUUUGAAUGGUAACGUUUAAAUGUCUGCUGCUACGGAAGCAAGAAAAUUCACUCCCUGUGUGGCUGCUGAUUCUGAGAAGUGUUCUGUUUAAGUCCAGCCCAUCUUCUCUCCACCAUUCCACACACACACAGCCACAUCAUCCCUGCUUCACCCGGCAUACCAGGAGGAGGCAGGAAGGACUUUGGAAAACUUUUAUACUGAAUGCAGAACUUGGUACUCCAGAUCAAACUGCAGAAGUAAAUGAUAAUCCUUCCCCUUCAA
rnacentral:lncRNA from 10 species